rnacentral:rRNA from 1 species
AGAGUUUGAUCAUGGCUCAGGAUGAACGCUAGCUACAGGCUUAACACAUGCAAGUCGAGGGGCAGCAUGAUUGAAGCUUGCUUCAAUUGAUGGCGACCGGCGCACGGGUGAGUAACGCGUAUCCAACCUUCCGUACACUCAGGGAUAGCCUUUCGAAAGAAGAUUAAUACCUGAUGGUAUGAUGAGAUUGCAUGAUAGCAUCAUUAAAGAUUUAUCGGUGUACGAUGGGGAUGCGUUCCAUUAGGUAGUAGGCGGGGUAAUGGCCCACCUAGCCGACGAUGGGAUAGGGGUUCUGAGAGGAAGGUCCCCCANAUUGGAACUGAGACACGGCCCAAACUCCUACGGGAGGCA